rnacentral:misc_RNA from 1 species
AAAAAAUCAUUGAAGAAAAGAGUUUUCUGUUAGAUUUCAACCAUCAAACACUAAACGAAAAGUAGAUUUAUUAACAAUCACAGGAAACUUAAAAGGUGGAAGGGAGAUGGCCAAGGAGUGUCGCGAUGCAAUAGGUACUAUAAACCUUGUGAAGGGCCAGCAUUUAGACAGAAGGACCACUAAUCAAUUGGAGGAUGCUAUAAAGCACCUAACACAUGUUGCUGUAUUUCUCACAAAUCUGGAGAAGCGUCACCCUGCUAAUGGAAUAUCUGUACAUCUUAGGCCUCUAUU